UUCACUACGGUCUCGCUGGUGAUUUUGAAUUUCUCAGGGACAAGGUUUGUCGACAUCGAGACAACACAAUUUUAGGCUCAGUUUGUUCGCUAGCAUUUGUUUGACCGAAUUCGAUCUUCGCAUCUCAGGAAUUGUAUUGUAUUGUAUUGUAUUGUAUUGUUGAAUUAGUAAUACAAUUUACUAUAAAUAUUGGGAAUCAGGCACGGGUGAUCACUUAGUGUUGCGUAAUCACUAUGUCGCUCAUUUCUGGCUAUGCAGUUGUUGUAACAAGUUUGGAACAAGCUGUUAAUAACUUGUAGAAGGC